rnacentral:ncRNA from 1 species
NNNNUGCAUGAAAGAAGAGAAGGUUAGCAUUCCCCUAGAUAAGGAUGGAAGAGAUUCUAGUGGCCUUUAUAACACAUAUACAUUUAAGGUAUUGCCCUUACUCUGUGACAUCCAACAAUUUAGU